CUGCCGGCCUGGGGGGUGGGGUGUGCUUCGGGGAAGGCGGGGGACCAGGGACAUCCAAGUGUGCAGGGAUGGAUUUGAGCAGCAUCCCCCGUCCAGCCUGGGACUCAGAGAACGUGUACAUCAAAAAUGUGAUCCGGGCAAGUGCCACUGCAAGUGAAGGUAGAUGCUCCUGGGACAUCUUUGGCCGAAGAAUCGAAAGGACUUUGAUAACUGCUGAAUGGGGCAGAGUGUCACCUCUCAAGAUGUAUUCCAGGGACUAUUGAUCCCCUGUGAACCAGCAUUUCAUGUUCCAUCUAAUAACACCAGCCAGGACUCAAGCUCUUAGGGGAGUACUUUCGGAAAUGUUGGAGUGAUGCGACCUUCUGGGGAACCGCAGAGAUCACUCUCCACCCUUGUCCACGGUACCCAUGGAAGGACAUCAAUGGGUGCCCUUGCCCUCCAGCUUCCGGUGGAUUCACCCAGUGAAGAUCCCUGGCAGGAGAUUGGAAGAAGGGAGAAAAGGGAGGUCAGAGUAUCUGCUCCAUUGUUUCCUCCCAUGAUGAAUCAUCUUGGGUUGGCUGCUUCUCCCAACUGAAGGUCUUUGGCUGUCUAAAGUUGGCCAACUCAUCCUUUAAAGAUCGGGUUCCAGAGAUUUUAAAAAUAUUCUUGAGAGUGUUCGUGUUACCCCGGAGAGAGCUAGAACCUCCCAAGCAGGAUUGGCUGUUAUGGUUUGAGUCUUCCCUUUGCUGUGACACUUAAACUUUUUUCCUUGUUGCCAUAAAUUCGAUCGGUUCCUUUUGAGUUGUGAGCUGCCCGUUCUCCUCUGCCCUGGGUUCUGGUCUUGCUCUGCUGCUGACGACUUGGCUCCACGACCUUCCCUAAUUCACUGUAAAAAUGUCUUUAUUUUGACAGUGGGUGGUCUUUGUGUUCCUUCCAGUGUUGAGUUUUAUGUUCUUUAGCUAUAGGGUACCUCAUUAAGUCUGCAGAAUGGACACAGGCAGGUGCGAACUCCAGUGGAUGGAGCCUCCAGUGUGAUAACACCUGAAGGAAGACAACCUUUUUAGCUACGGGUCUCUUUUAUUCCUCUUCAAAUUGUGUGUAGGCAGUCGUCUACUCUUAAUAGCUACCUUAUCGAUGGUGCAUGCUGAUCAAGAUAUUAUAUAACCUUUCUUGGAAACACACCUGAAUGUUUAAGAGGACGGAGGUCACCGGCUAACACCACCUUAUCUGCUUAACUCUAAACUCUGGAAUGUAAUGAAAAAGUAUCCCAUCUGGUCUGUCUUGGAAUAGCCAUGAUUUAUAGCUGCUAAACCUGCAAACCAGUGAAGCCCCCUGGCAUUCAGUAUGACUUGCCUUCAUGUGUGCCUUCUUUGCACUUCUCCAGCCCUUUCUGAUGUAGAAUCCCUGGCUACAGAUGAGGGCACAGGUGGGCUGCUUCUCUGGCUCCAGAGUUGAGCAGGGGAAAGGAAGGUGGCAUCGUCCCGGUUGGACAAAGGAAAGUCAAAUGAUACUCAAGAGCCUCCAGACCCCCUUCCGUUAAUUCCCCAAGACAAAGGCUGGGACUAGGGUUCUCAGUGAUGAACUACUGGGUCCUGUCCAGGCUGUUUUCAUCUCCUGAGGCCUUUCCACACCUUUUAUGACUCUGUUUUGGAGAAAGAAAACCACCCUUCAAAGGCUUAGCCCUAUCAAGUUCCCCCACCGUAUGUUCUUGUUAGAAUGUUUAUGAUACUCUUUAUCUUAGGAUUACAAUGUUAGCUCUGCCAUCGAUUGAUAAAACAUGCUGUAAACUACAACUUACCAUUUAUUUUCUUUAAAAAUGUGGGAAUAAAACAUAUAUGGUUUUAAUCAUUUUCUACGUCUGUCUCAAAGUAGUCUCCAUAUCAGUAAAGAAUGUUGUAGCAGCUCAUGUUAUUUUCAGACCAGAAACACACUGCAUAUGUAUUCAUUGAUAUUGGGGUCACACUCUUUGUGAUGUUGUUUGUUAUGAGAGCAUAUAACGUAUAUUCCAAGGCUGAUGGCAGCAAGCAGUUUGGAUG